rnacentral:rRNA from 1 species
CUACGAAGGGGGCAAGCGUUGUGCGGAAUAACUGGGCGUAAAGCGCACGUAGGCGGAAUGUUAAGUUAGAGGUGAAAUCCCAGGGCUCAACCCUGGAACUGCCUUUAAUACUGGCAAUCUAGAGACCGAGAGAGGUGAGUGGAAUUCCGAGUGUAGAGGUGAAAUUCGUAGAUAUUCGGAGGAACACCAGUGGCGAAGGCGGCUCACUGGCUCGGUACUGACGCUGAGGUGCGAAAGCGUGGGGAGCAAACAGGAUUAGAUACCCUAGUAGUCC